rnacentral:rRNA from 1 species
CAGCCGCCGCGGUAAUACGUAGGGUGCGAGCGUUAAUCGGAAUUACUGGGCGUAAAGCGUGCGCAGGCGGUUUUGUAAGACAGAGGUGAAAUCCCCGGGCUCAACCUGGGAACUGCCUUUGUGACUGCAAGGCUAGAGUACGGCAGAGGGGGAUGGAAUUCCGCGUGUAGCAGUGAAAUGCGUAGAUAUGCGGAGGAACACCGAUGGCGAAGGCAAUCCCCUGGGCCUGUACUGACGCUCAUGCACGAAAGCGUGGGGAGCAAACAGGAUUAGAUACCCCCGUAGUCCCUGUCUCUUAUAC